rnacentral:rRNA from 1 species
CCCUUAGAGUUUGAUCCUGGCUCAGAACGAACGCUGGCGGCAUGCCUAACACAUGCAAGUCGAACGAGACCUUCGGGUCUAGUGGCGCACGGGUGCGUAACGCGUGGGAAUCUGCCCUUCGGUCCGGAAUAACUCAGGGAAACUUGAGCUAAUACCGGAUGAUGACUUCAGUCCAAAGAUUUACCGCCGAGGGAUGAGCCCGCGUAGGAUUAGCUAGUUGGUGAGGUAAAGGCUCACCAAGGCGACGAUCCUUAGCUGGUCUGAGAGGAUGAUCAGCCACACUGGGACUGAGACACGGCCCAGACUCCUACGGGAGGCAGCAGUGGGGAAUAUUGGACAAUGGGCGAAAGCCUGAUCCAGCAAUGCCGCGUGAGUGAUGAAGGCCCUAGGGUUGUAAAGCUCUUUUACCCGGGAUGAUAAUGACAGUACCGGGAGAAUAAGCCCCGGCUAACUCCGUGCCAGCAGCCGCGGUAAUACGGAGGGGGCUAGCGUUGUUCGGAAUUACUGGGCGUAAAGCGCACGUAGGCGGCUUUGCAAGUCAGAGGUGAAAGCCCGGGGCUCAACCCCGGAAUUGCCUUUGAGACUGCAUCGCUAGAACGUCGGAGAGGUAAGUGGAAUUCCGAGUGUAGAGGUGAAAUUCGUAGAUAUUCGGAAGAACACCAGUGGCGAAGCGACUUACUGGACGACUGUUGACGCUGAGUGCGAAAGCGUGGGGAGCAAACAGAUUAGAUACCCUGGUAGUCCACGCUGUAACGAUGAGACUAGCUGUCGGGCG